UUUAUUGGAGAGUUUGAUCCUGGCUCAGGAUGAACGCUGGCGGCGUGCCUAAUACAUGCAAGUCGAGCGAAUGGAUUAAGAGCUUGCUCUUAUGAAGUUAGCGGCGGACGGGUGAGUAACACGUGGGUAACCUGCCCAUAAGACUGGGAUAACUCCGGGAAACCGGGGCUAAUACCGGAUAACAUUUUGAACUGCAUGGUUCGAAAUUGAAAGGCGGCUUCGGCUGUCACUUAUGGAUGGACCCGCGUCGCAUUAGCUAGUUGGUGAGGUAACGGCUCACCAAGGCAACGAUGCGUAGCCGACCUGAGAGGGUGAUCGGCCACACUGGGACUGAGACACGGCCCAGACUCCUACGGGAGGCAGCAGUAGGGAAUCUUC
rnacentral:rRNA from 1 species